CCUACGGGAGGCAGCAGUGAGGAAUAUUGGACAAUGGACGAAAGUCUGAUCCAGCCAUGCCGCGUGCAGGAUGACGGCCCUAUGGGUUGUAAACUGCUUUUAUACAGGAAGAAACACCCCCACGCGUGGGGGCUUGACGGUACUGUACGAAUAAGGAUCGGCUAACUCCGUGCCAGCAGCCGCGGUAAUACGGAGGAUCCAAGCGUUAUCCGGAAUUAUUGGGUUUAAAGGGUCCGCAGGCGGUUUAUUAAGUCAGAGGUGAAAUCUUGCAGCUUAACUGUAAAAUUGCCUUUGAUACUGGUAGACUUGAGUCAUUGUGAAGUGGUUAGAAUGUGUGGUGUAGCGGUGAAAUGCAUAGAUAUCACACAGAAUACCGAUUGCGAAGGCAGAUCACUAACAAUGUACUGACGCUCAUGGACGAAAGCGUGGGGAGCGAACAGGAUUAGAUACCCUGGUAGUCCACGCCGUAAACGAUGGAUACUAACUGUUCGGCCUUAGGGUUGAGUGGUUAAGCGAAAGUGAUAAGUAUCCCACCUGGGGAGCACGCUCGCAAGAGUGAAACUCAAAGGAAUUGACGG
rnacentral:rRNA from 1 species